ensembl:snoRNA SNORD116 Small nucleolar RNA SNORD116
GGAUUGAUAUUGACAUUUAAAUAUGUAUUUCUUGGAAGAUUGAACAAAAUGAAUGAAAAUGUUAUGGCAUUGUCCUCAUUGAACUGAGAUCC